rnacentral:rRNA from 1 species
GGAAUCUUGGACAAUGGGGGCAACCCUGAUCCAGCCAUGCCGCGUGAGCGAUGAAGGCCUUCGGGUUGUAAACCCCUUUCAGGAGGGAAGAAAUUGACGGUACCUCCAGAAGAAGGACCGGCCAACUACGUGCCCGCAGCCGCGGUAAUACGUAGGGUCCGAGCGUUAUCCGGAAUCAUUGGGCGUAAAGAGCUCGUAGGCGGUUCAGCAAGUCGGCUGUGAAAGUCCGAGGCUCAACCUCGGAAUUGCAGUCGAUACUGCUGUGACUCGAGUCCGGUAGAGGAGAAUGGAAUUCCCGGUGUAGCGGUGAAAUGCGCAGAUAUCGGGAGGAACACCAGUAGCGAAGGCGGUUCUCUGGGCCGGCACUGACACUGAGGAGCGAAAGCGUGGGGAGCAAAC